GGGUCAGUAGGUUGGUCGUGCCACCGGUACGUACUGGUCUCACUGAUUCCUCCUUCCUGAAGAACCGUAAUGCCAUUAAUUUGGUGUUGCGGGGAAACAGGAUUGUUACUUUGAGAAAAUUAGAGUGUUUAAAGCAAGCUAACGCUUGAAUACAUUAGCAUGGAAUAAUGAAAUAGGACGAUCAAUCCUAUUUUGUUGGUUUCUAGGAUUGACGUA
rnacentral:rRNA from 1 species